GAUGAACGCUGGCGGCGUGCCUAAUACAUGCAAGUCGAGCGAACGGACGAGAAGCUUGCUUCUCUGAUGUUAGCGGCGGACGGGUGAGUAACACGUGGAUAACCUACCUAUAAGACUGGGAUAACUUCGGGAAACCGGAGCUAAUACCGGAUAAUAUUUUGAACCUCAUGGUUCAAAAGUGAAAGACGGUCUUGCUGUCACUUAUAGAUGGAUCCGCGCUGCAUUAGCUAGUUGGUAAGGUAACGGCUUACCAAGGCAACGAUGCAUAGCCGACCUGAGAGGGUGAUCGGCCACACUGGAACUGAGACACGGUCCAGACUCCUACGGGAGGCAGCAGUAGGGAAUCUUCCGCAAUGGGCGAAAGCCUGACGGAGCAGCGCCGCGUGAGUGAUGAAGGUCUUCGGAUCGUAAAACUCUGUUAUUAGGGAAGAACAUAUGUGUAAGUAACUGUGCACAUCUUGACGGUACCUAAUCAGAAAGCCACGGCUAACUACGUG
rnacentral:rRNA from 1 species